UACGUAGGGUGCAAGCGUUGUCCGGAAUUAUUGGGCGUAAAGAGCUCGUAGGCGGUUUGUCGCGUCUGCUGUGAAAACGCGAGGCUCAACCUCGCGCCUGCAGUGGGUACGGGCAGACUAGAGUGUGGUAGGGGGAGAUUGGAAUUCCUGGUGUAGCGGUGGAAUGCGCAGAUAUCAGGAGGAACACCGAUGGCGAAGGCAGAUCUCUGGGCCAUUACUGACGCUGAGGAGCGAAAGGCGUGGGGAGCGAACAGG
rnacentral:rRNA from 1 species